rnacentral:lncRNA from 1 species
UUUUUUUUUUUUUUUUUGGGUGUCUCAGUUUUGCCCACACUGGAGUGCAGCAGUGCAAUAGUGGCUCAUUGCAGCCUCCAACUCCUGGGCUCAAUCUAUCCUUCCACCUCAUGCUCCCCCAUAGCUGGGACUACAGGUGCAUGCCACUGUGCCCAGCUAAUGAUUCUUUUGGUAAAGAUUGGGUCGUACUACAUUGCUCAUGCUAGUCUUGAACUCGUGGCCUCAAGCGAUCUUCCCGCCUCAACCUCUUGAGUUAUUGGGAUUACAGGAAUGCGCUACCAUGCCCAGCUCUGUGGAAAAUUCUCUGUGGCAUUCUGUCUCCUGAAAGUGCUGAAGGGACGAAAAGGACUCAGUGUCCUUCUUCUCUUCCCUGGCACUUUCAGACCAUUUUCCUGUUGCCUUCAUUCUAACAAAGGUUGCAGAUUGGAAAGCUGAUUUGGAAUGUUUUUUAAGUGUUUUCAGUUUCAAUAUUUGUAUGAAAUUCCUAUGGUCUCCAACACACUCAUUUAUUUUUAUUAUUAUUUUUUUUACACCUGACUUGAUUCACUUGCUUACCUUGAAUCCCUUAUUAAGGUCUCUGGAGACAUGCAAUGGUGACCAUUUCUGCAAUUUCUACACUCUGUGCACUUACCUCCCUUUCCACAUGACUCGUUUCAUUUUUCUUGUGCUAUUUGUUGGUCUUAACAUUUUAAAAGAGGAGGUGUGAAGAGAUUAGAUGCAGGUGGCUGCCAUUAAUCUUCAGUCCCAAAAACUGUACAUGUUGAUGUACCAGAGUUUUAGGUUUUUCAUAUAAUAAAAUAUAUGAUCUUUUAUAGUUUUUCCAAUUUAAGUUUUGAAAGUUAGGUUACAAAUAUAUCUCUUUUUGCUUUUUCUUUAUUGUGAGGUGUAUUUUUAAAGAUCAAAGUAAUACUUGCUUGCAGUUAAAAAUUCAAAUGGGGCCAGGUACAGUGGCUCACGCCUGUAAUCCCAGCACUUUGAGAGGCUGAGAUGGGCAGAUUGCUUGAGCCCAGGAGUUCGAGGCCAACCUGGGCAACAUGGUAAAACCCUGUCUCUACAGAAAAUACAAAAAUUAGCCGAGUGCAGUGGUGAUCACCUGCAGUCCCAACUGUUCGUGAGUCUGAGGUGGGAGGAUUGCUGGAGCCCAGGAGGUCAAGGCUGCAGUAAGCCGUGAUCAUGCCAUUACACUUCAGCCUGGGCAACAGAGUAAGACCCUGUCUUUAAAAAAAAAAAAUUCUAAUGGGGCUAGAAUGCUUAUAAUAAAAACUAGCAGCUCACUUUCCCACUAUACCCAACUCCUGAUUCCAUUCCACAAUAACCACUUUUCUACUGUUGACUUUUCUAAUUUUCUCUUAUUUACCUAUAUAUUUCUAGUUGUGCAACCAUCACCACUGUCUAGUUCCAUCCAAAACAUUGCCAUCCCCCCCAAAAAUCUUGUACCUAUUAAGCAGUCAUUCCCCACUCACCCCACCCCCCCAGGCCCUGGCCACCAUUGAUUCUGCUUUCUGUCUCUAUGGACUUGCCUAUUCUGGAUAUUUCAUGUAAACAGAAAUCUCUUACUAAUUUCCAAACAGUUGGAUGAUCUGUGUCACAUGCCUAUCAUUAAUAUUUUCCAGUUACUUGGUGUCAGUUUCAGUCUUUGUUUUGCUUGCCUUUUUUUCCUGGCAUUGACUCCCCAAGGGCCUUUUGUCCCCCUGCUCCCAUGCGGCCGCUCUCUAGGGCAGCUGCACAGGUGUCAUCCUUGGACUCCACUUUGCUGCUCUUCUAUGUUACAGUCUCUUGUUCACUGGAUCCUGUUUUUCUCUUUAUUGCUUUAUGCUCUUCUUUUGCUGGAGCCUAUCCUGCAGAAGCUUCCUGCCAAUGAUUGUUUUGGAGGAAAUUAAAAGAAAACCAAACCAAAUCUCUCCUAUCCAAGGGGAAGAACUUUAUCCCCAUAUUAAUUGAAUAUAGGAUUCGAGAUUUAAAAUGUUGGUGGCAGUUAGAGUUUGCUCUUUUUUUUUCUAUUGGAAAGGUCCACAAAUGUUUUGUUGACAUUUUUGUCUUUAAUCCAUUUGAAUUUGGGGUACAUGUUAUGAUUUGUCUACAUUAAUUUCCCUUUUAAAAAUAAAAAUAAUUCCUCAAGC